UACGGAGGGGGCUAGCGUUGUUCGGAAUUACUGGGCGUAAAGCGCACGUAGGCGGCUUUGCAAGUCAGAGGUGAAAGCCCGGGGCUCAACCCCGGAAUUGCCUUUGAGACUGCAUCGCUAGAAUUGUGGAGAGGUAAGUGGAAUUCCGAGUGUAGAGGUGAAAUUCGUAGAUAUUCGGAAGAACACCAGUGGCGAAGGCGACUUACUGGACACAUAUUGACGCUGAGGCACGAAAGCGUGGGGAGCAAACAGG
rnacentral:rRNA from 1 species